UACGUAGGGGGCGAGCGUUGUCCGGAUUCAUUGGGCGUAAAGAGCUCGUAGGCGGUUCAGUAAGUCGGGUGUGAAAUCUCCGUGCUCAACACGGAGCGGCCACCUGAUACUGCUGUGACUCGAGUCCGGUAGGGGAGUGUGGAAUUCCCGGUGUAGCGGUGAAAUGCGCAGAUAUCGGGAGGAACACCAGUAGCGAAGGCGGCACUCUGGGCCGUGACUGACGCUGAGGAGCGAAAGCAUGGGUAGCAAACAGG
rnacentral:rRNA from 1 species